rnacentral:tRNA from 1 species
GCCGAUGUAGCUCAGUUGGUAGAGCGCGUCCUUGGUAAGGACGAGGUCACGGGUUCGAGUCCCGUCAUCGGCUCCA